rnacentral:lncRNA from 1 species
UUUUUUCAGGUUAUAAAUCUACUCAUACAAAAACGGAAAUAAGUAGUAACUUUGAGAAAUAUAAAAAAUGUCUUCAUUUUUAAAAUUAUUAUCUUUCUUAUCAUUUUUUUCUUCUUAAUAUCUUUUUCCAUUUAUUUUGUUUUUCCGGUUUGUAGGUUUACCGUUACAAAGACAAAAACGGAUAGUAACUUUCAAAAAUAUAAGUGCAAACAUAAGUAAAUAUUUUAGGAGACAAAAUUUUAAUUUUAUAUAUACCUUUGUG